GGCAGUGUUGAUGUGUGCCUGUGAGUUGUGAGCGAGGCAGAUUUCCUCGCGUGGCCGGCACGACCUUCACCUUUGCAGAAGGCAACCGGGACCCUCAGUUGAUUCCAGUUCAAAAGUUGCUGUGGUCCUGGAAAUGAGGAUUCUGGGCAAAACAAGAAAUUGGGUGAUUAUGCAUUCAAGAUCUAAAGAUGCUUUCCUUUCAUCAUCUAGAAUGAAUUUGUUCAUUUAUCCUGAUGAAAGGUUAAAGAAGAUAUUGCCAAGUGUGAACAAUAACCUUCGAUGGAAAUGAUAUCAUCAAUUCCUGAAAGUGCAGAACAAUCUAUUUUUAGGAAGGGAUGUGCUCCAUUGAGCUCCUGAUUUUGAGACCACUUUUAUUUAUUUAUUUUUAAACUUAAUUUAGUUUGAUAUUUAAAA
ensembl:lncRNA YAE1-DT YAE1 divergent transcript